UUUGAUUAAGUUUUAGUAUUCUGUCCUAGAUGCGUGUUCCAUCUACGCGACACUGACAGAUAGCUAACAGUCAGAAGUCAGAAAAGGGGC